rnacentral:tRNA from 1 species
CGAAAGAAAAUAUCGAGUCAUCAACAAAAACGGAAAGAGAGGGAUUCGAACCCUCGGUACGAAAAACUCGUACAACGGAUUAGCAAUC